GCCGGAGUGGCCCAGUGGUAAGGCGUCUGUCUCGUAUCCCAGUGCGAACAGAAGAUCCAUGGUUCGAUUCCGUGCUCUGGCA